rnacentral:rRNA from 1 species
AUUGAACGCUGGCGGCAUGCUUUACACAUGCAAGUCGAACGGUAACAGGCCUUCGGGUGCUGACGAGUGGCGAACGGGUGAGUAAUGCAUCGGAACGUACCCAGAGGUGGGGGAUAACGCAGCGAAAGCUGUGCUAAUACCGCAUGUGAUCUGAGGAUGAAAGCGGGGGACCGAGCAGCAAUGUUUGGCCUCGCGCCUUUGGAGCGGCCGAUGUCGGAUUAGCUAGUUGGUGGGGUAAAGGCCUACCAAGGCGACGAUCCGUAGCUGGUCUGAGAGGACGACCGGCCACACUGGGGCGGAGACACGGCCCAGACUCCUACGGGAGGCAGCAGUGGGGAAUUUUGGACAAUGGGCGCAAGCCUGAUCCAGCAAUGCCGCGUGCGGGAAGAAGGCCUUCGGGUUGUAAACCGCUUUUGGCAGGAACGAAACGGUGUCCGCUAAUACCGGGCGCUAAUGACGGUACCUGCAGAAUAAGCACCGGCUAACUACGUG